rnacentral:rRNA from 1 species
UAGGGAAUCUUCGGCAAUGGACGAAAGUCUGACCGAGCAACGCCGCGUGAGUGAAGAAGGUUUUCGGAUCGUAAAACUCUGUUGGUAGAGAAGAACGUUGGUGAGAGUGGAAAGCUCAUCAAGUGACGGUAACUACCCAGGAAGGGACGGCUAACUACGUGCCAG